ACUAAGGGGCUGCUCUCAGUGGCUGUGUCUGGUGCUUCUCUGGAGCCUGUAAUGGUUUAGUUUCUCAGAUAAAGUGAUCUAUGGGAGCCACAUCAAGCCACCCACUGUGCUUCCUCAGCUUACAGCUUUCUUAAAGCUGUAAAAAAGUGGUUUCCGGGGUGUCAGGAGAGAAGCCCCACCCACUUCUGAAUGGAGUGAGGAGUUAGUGGACCAAUGGCUGAUCUCACUUCCAUGAUUGGCAGGAGCUGCUGCUGUCACUUAAUACUCGGCCAUUGAGCGCCCACUGUGGUCUGCCGGGUUUUCUGGGAGCCCGGUGGCACACUCCUGCCCCACAGUCCCUUUGAAGCUGGUAUCCAGAGGACUUAGCAGCUGGUGAAGCAUGCUGUCAGCCUUGGUGGGGAUGCCAGUGUCUUCCACCUCCGCUCUCUGCUGCUAGCUAUUGUGUCGGUGUCUCUGGCCAUGGAGCGUCCUAGUGUAAACUGAGAGGAUAACUGUAAAUGUUGAUGUUCAAGACAACUGCCCCCCACCCCUGCACCCCAACUUAGUAACAAAGCGGUGCUAAGUGAAGGCUUUCGGAGGACACGCUCUUCUGAAGGACUCUCAGCACUUCAGAAACGCCGUGCAUGGAUUCUGACUGCAAUGUUAAUGUCUUCAUUUGCUUCUUCACUCUUGCAGAGUUAUUGGAGACUGUAACCCUAAUACAUAAGCCAGUGUCAUUGCAACCCCGUGGGCUGAUCAAUAAAGGAAACUGGUGCUACA
rnacentral:lncRNA from 1 species